GCAUUUUUAUCUCAGCAAGGAACUUGUCCAAAUUUACUUUCUCCACCCUUCUUAUGUCUGAGGGCUUGGCUUCCUCAGCCAGUUUCUUGUCUGCUCAGGGGGAGAUUUUCCUGAGAAGAGCCACUGCCUUUCUACUGCUCGGCCAUGUUCCUGUUGCUUAUCUCAACACUGGGGAUAUUUGCCCUGCGAGACACCGGAGCCCAGUCAGUGACACAGCCUGAUGUCCAUGUCACUGUCUCUGAAGGAGCCCCUCUGGAGCUGAGGUGCAACUAUUCCUAUAGUGGAACUCCUUAUCUCUUCUGGUACAUGCAGCACCCCAACCAAGGACUCCAGUUUCUACUGAAGUACUUUUCAGGGGACACCCUGGUUAAAGGCAUCAAAGGUUUUGAGGCUGAAUUUAAGAACCAUGAAACCACCUUCCACCUGAGGAAAUCUCGAGCCCUUGGCAGCGAUGCGGCCAAGUACUUCUGUGCUGUGAGUGACACAGUGUCUGGGACUGCAGGGGGAGCUGAACACAAACCACCAUGGUAGGGGAGUUUUUGGAGACUGACGGUCUCUUCCUGUGGUAUUAUUAGAGAUCUCUUGCUGU